rnacentral:lncRNA from 10 species
UGGAAAAAAUGAGGCGAGAAGAGACGGAUUUGCAAAAGCAGGAAGAAAAUGAGAUAGCAGUAACAACUGGCAACCAUAUGUUCAUCUGAUGUAUUUGCAAAUAUUUAAGUUCUAGGCUUCCUCAGGAAAUCUGGAAAGUAUUGGCACUGAUUAGGAAAGCCUUUUUUAUUAUAAUACAUCCAUCACUGUAUGGGAAAGCAGGAAAGGAUCUGCCAAUGAAACGAAAUAGUUUUCUGGAAAUAAAUAACAUCUACAGACAAUUGAAACUAUUGACUAUAGAAUGACGCAGUUGUUUCAAGGUGACCAUAUCAGAGGAUGUCAGCCAGGAACAUGGAGUGGGUCCUUGACAUUUGUCUAGCGAUACAUCUUAAAACUUUUACAAGUUCCAAAUUUGAGAAUACCACUAUGCAUGUGUCAACAGAAUUUCCUGGAUGUAGUAAGAAACUAAAAAGAGAUUCACCCAGGCUGGAGGAGAGAUUUAUCUAUGGAUUUCAAAGCAGUAGAGACCAGGGCCUUACUUUAUGGCUAUGUCUAGGAGGACUGGACAGAGUUCCUAUUUGGAGAAGAUUCCUGUUUUUCCCCAAGAGCCAUAUGGAGCAGAAGAAAAUAGCCAGAUCAGAUGGGAUGCUGAGGGUCCGCUGAAGUCCAUGAGAUACAGCAGAGUUUGCCAACACUAUUGGUUCCAUAGGUAAUCUGGAAUGGAGGCAUGGAGGUGGAAGUUCUGGACUCUUCUUCUCAAUGUCUAGCUAACCUGGUCAGAGGCUUGCCAGAAGGGGCCCCGAUAAAAGGAAGCUACACCCAAGAUAUGAGACAAGAAUAUGGGACAGUUAGCUUUGAUCUCUGAAUGUGUUGUGUAUUGGUUUCAGUGCCCAUCUCAUAGAAAUAAAAUACUGCUUUAUUCUGCAU